GACGGAGGGUGCUAGCGUUGUUCGGAAUGACUGGGCGUAAAGGGCGCGUAGGCGGCCGCUUGCGUCGGAUGUGAAAGCCCGGGGCUCAACCCCGGAACGGCAUCCGAUACGGGGCGGCUCGAGACCGAGAGAGGUGAGUGGAAUACCCAGUGUAGAGGUGAAAUUCGUAGAUAUUGGGUGGAACACCGGUGGCGAAGGCGGAUCUCUGGGCCGAUACUGACGCUGAGGAGCGAAAGCGUGGGGAGCGAACAGG
rnacentral:rRNA from 1 species